UACGGGGGAGCAAGCGUUGUUCGGAUUUACUGGGCGUAAAGGGCGCGUAGGCGGUCAGCACAAGUCAGUUGUGAAAUCUCCGGGCUUAACUCGGAAAGGUCAACUGAUACUGUGCGACUAGAGUGCAGAAGGGGCAACUGGAAUUCUCGGUGUAGCGGAUGAAAUGCGCAGAUAUCGGGAAGAACACCCGGUGGCGAAGGCGGGUCUCUGGGCCGUAACUGACGCUGGAGGAGCGAAAGCAUGGGGAGCGAACAGG
rnacentral:rRNA from 1 species